rnacentral:rRNA from 1 species
UACGUAGGGUGCAAGCGUUGUCCGGAAUUAUUGGGCGUAAAGAGCUCGUAGGCGGUCUGUCGCGUCUGCUGUGAAAACUCAGGGCUUAACCCUGAGCUUGCAGUGGGUACGGGGCAGACUAGAGUGCGGUAGGGGAGACUGGAAUUCCUGGUGUAGCGGUGAAAUGCGCAGAUAUCAGGGAGGGAACACCCGGUGGGCGAAAGGCGGGGUCUCUGGGCCGUAACUGACG